GGAUGUGAGCAUGAUCUGGCUGCGGCAUUUGUCACCCUGUUGGUUACCAGGGUCAACUCAGCAGAUCUGCCUGGCUAAGUGGGUGUCUUUUUUCUCUCUCACCAUUGUUCUUGAAUCCUUCCCCAAGCUGAGCACCCAGUGGAAGAGGGCAACCACCCCUGAUAGAAGGACCCAUUUUCCUAGGUCAAAGGUAUAAGAGUAGCUGUGCUGUCCUGCUAGAACCUCCAAAUAAGCACUCCAGAAUAUUUUUUAAUGUUUGACUUUUUUUUAGCUUAACUCAACAUUCUCAAUUUCCUAAAAUAGUGAAUGACAAGUAUAAUUCGAGGA
rnacentral:snRNA from 1 species